CCGGCCCCUCAGGCCCUGCUGGCCGCUGGGGAAGGCGGCGGGGCCAGGCCCGGCCGCUGCCAGAGAGCGAGGCAAAGAGCGUAAACAGGUUGUGGCGCUGCCCGUGUGGGAGGCGGCGCCUGGGGAGACCCUGGCAGGCACGGCGCAGGAGGGGCGGGCCUGUUGCUUUAGACGGAACGACGGCUGUGCCGGGAGGGCAGCGAGCACCCGCCUGCCGUUUCGUCUGACAGCGCGGUUAAGUACGCUGGGUGACACUGUAAACCUGCAUCUGCAAAGUGCAAGCAACGCGCCCGCCUCUCAUCACCACAUCUACUUAGGAUAUCUGUUUUGAAGAGCUUGAUAGUAAAUGCGCAGUCUACCGUACAGGCAUGAAGAGCUGCUUCUUGUACUUCCUUCCGAUGCUUCUCAUCAUCACUCUUUAGUCACCUGCCUGCUGAAUAAAUCUCAUCAUGAAAGACUGAGCAUGGGCUAGAGCAACAGACUUCUAAGGUGCUUUUUGGAUUCAGUACAUUACCAGAAGAUAAAAGCAAAAGUCAGUAUUAAAUAUUUGAUGCAAAUAACAAGAGAUAUGACCGAUAACUUUAUCAGUAUAGGAAAAAAAGAAAAA